GGACAUAGCUCAGUGAUAGAGCGUCUGCUUUGCAUGCAGAAGGUCUCAUGUUCAAUCCCUGGUAUCUCCA
rnacentral:tRNA from 1 species